rnacentral:tRNA from 1 species
AUAAUUAGAAUUUACCUAUAGAUAAGACUAAUCUCCUUUGCAGCUUCAAUGCAACGCUCUAUUAUAUGAGCUAUAUAAGU